rnacentral:rRNA from 1 species
UACGGAGGGUGCAAACGUUAAUCGGAAUUACUGGGCGUAAAGCGUGCGCAGGCGGUUCCAUAAGACAGAUGUGAAAUCCCCGGGCUCAACCUGGGAACUGCAUUUGUGACUGUGGGGCUAGAGUACGGUAGAGGGGGAUGGAAUUCCGCGUGUAGCAGUGAAAUGCGUAGAUAUGCGGAGGAACACCAAUGGCGAAGGCGGCUCACUGGCCCGAUACUGACGAUGAGGUGCGAAAGCGUGGGGAGCAAACAGG